GAGUGGGGUCGGGCGGUCGCCGCCUCGCCCCUGUGGGCGAGGGGGAGGAAAGUCCGAACACCACAGGGCAGCGAGCCUGCUAACGGCAGGGCAUCCGUCCCGUAAGGGGCGGGUGACGACAAGUGCAACAGAGAACAGACCAGCCAGCGGACGGUGCUCGGCACCGUUGCGGGUGAUGGGUGAAACGGUGCGGUAAGAGCGCACCAGCGCAUGUGGUGACACAUGCGGCUAGGCAAACUCCUCGCGGUGCAAGACCAAAUAGGGAGGCGUCAGAGGGCGGCCCGUCCGAGCGAAAGCCCUCGGGCUUUCCACGUCUCCGGGUAGGUCGCUUGACCCGUCUGGCGACAGAUGGGCUAGAGGAAUGAUCGCCACUCCGAAGAUCCUUCGGAGGACAGAAUUCGGCUUACAGACCCUCUUCCGCU
rnacentral:RNase_P_RNA from 2 species